AGCUCUCAUUUUGGAAUUUAAGUUCAAGAAUCUCUGGUUGUCUCUUAAAGGUGUUGAAAUCUUCAAGACACUUUUCCAUCCUCAUAUCCAUGCACGAACUCACAUGUUGCAGCAUGGAAAUUCAGCAAUAUUAUGGAACCAUAUUGUAAGCUAGGCACAGUGGAAGAUUUUUGAUGAAGGGUAUAUGCUAAAUAUUUGCUCUUCACAUCAGCCAACACAAAAUGAGCUAUUCAGUAUUCCAUCACUGGCAAUG